GCUGAGGUGUAUCCUGAUGGGCUCUCUGUAGAUCCACAUCGUUGGAAAUGCUUCACAGAGGAAGACUGUGGUUCAGCUUUAAUCACAGAUCUGAGAAAUCUGUGAGAAGGAACUAAAAGAGAGAU
rnacentral:snoRNA from 1 species